UACGGAGGGUGCGAGCGUUGUCCGGAAUCACUGGGCGUAAAGGGCGCGUAGGCGGCGCGGAUAGUCGGCGGUGAAAGCCCGGAGCUCAACUCCGGGUCGGCCGUCGAUACUUCCGGGCUUGAGCACUGUAGAGGCAGAUGGAAUUCCGGGUGUAGCGGUGGAAUGCGUAGAGAUCCGGAAGAACACCGGUGGCGAAGGCGGUCUGCUGGGCAGUUGCUGACGCUGAUGCGCGACAGCGUGGGGAGCAAACG
rnacentral:rRNA from 1 species